rfam:Schistosoma mansoni strain Puerto Rico chromosome 2, complete genome
AUCCAACUGAUAAGUCCCAGAUAGAACGAAACACAUGUACUGGAU